rnacentral:rRNA from 1 species
AACAGGAUUAGAUACCCUGGUAGUCCACGCUGUAAACGAUGUCGACUUGGAGGUUGUUCCCUUGAGGAGUGGCUUCCGGAGCUAACGCGUUAAGUCGACCGCCUGGGGAGUACGGCCGCAAGGUUAAAACUCAAAUGAACUGACGGGGGCCCGCACAAGCGGUGGAGCAUGUGGUUUAAUUCGAUGCAACGCGAAGAACCUUACCUACUCUUGACAUCCAGAGAACUUAGCAGAGAUGCUUUGGUGCCUUCGGGAACUCUGAGACAGGUGCUGCAUGGCUGUCGUCAGCUCGUGUUGUGAAAUGUUGGGUUAAGUCCCGCAACGAGCGCAACCCUUAUCCUUUGUUGCCAGCGGUUCGGCCGGGAACUCAAAGGAGACUGCCAGUGAUAAACUGGAGGAAGGUGGGGAUGACGUCAAGUCAUCAUGGCCCUUACGAGUAGGGCUACACACGUGCUACAAUGGCAUAUACAAAGAGAAGCGAACUCGCGAGAGCAAGCGGACCUCAUAAAGUAUGUCGUAGUCCGGAUUGGAGUCUGCAACUCGACUCCAUGAAGUCGGAAUCGCUAGUAAUCGUAGAUCAGAAUGCUACGGUGAAUACGUUCCCGGGCCUUGUACACACCGCCCGUCACACCAUGGGAGUGGGUUGCAAAAGAAGUAGGUAGCUUAACCUUCGGGAGGGCGCUUACCACUUUGUGAUUCAUGACUGGGGUGAAGUCGUAACAAGGUAACC